UCUGGGAUGUUCACUGUACGGAAAACAACAAACCAAGUUGUAACAAGUUCUAUCAUUAUAAUGAAAAGGCAAAGUUACAGCCUUUUAAAGAGCGAUUUCUCAUUAAGAUAGGCAGGGAGAGAAUCAUCUCCACUUCUGGGUCAACUAGUUACGCAUUAGUGAAUCAUUUCUUCUGCACGCUGUCUUUACUUCCAAAACAACAGGAAAAACAAAUAAUAAGAAAGACUGAGUUUGGUGCACAGUGAACUCUAUCACUGUACCUUUAAAAUAACUGUCACUCAUUACCAGAAUAGGUUUGGGUUUACCUGCAGCACCCUCAGUGGCAUCUUCUGUGUGUCAUCAGUUGCUACUGUGAUGACACCCAGUACAUGUUAUGUGCCCACAUCUAAGUGGACAUAAAGUACAGAAAUCUUCCCUUUCUGGAUUUUAAAUAAAUGCUUGCUAAUUUAAGGAAGCCACGUUUCAUCAUUCUGAGUAGAACCAGACUAGCAUCUCAGUGGCCGAGUACUGUCACACACCUGUGACAUCUCUCAACUCCCACCCACCACCAGUCUGUUUUUCCUAGUGGCUUUUUCAAACAUGGGCCUCCAUUCUGAUGAGCCCAGACAUAAUCAGAGCUCAGUUAAUUCACUCUGAGUUUCCCCCCAGUCUAAUCACUGCUUAUCUUUUGCUUCUUCUAUGAUAAUUUUUGAGGGGCGAGUAAUACAGGUCUUUCUCUUUACAAUAUUGUCCAUCUUACAGAAAUCAGAGCCAAUAAAUUUGCUGUCAAAAAUAGUAAAAUGUUGCAAAAGAGAAUCAGAUUUGUGACGAAGAGCAGGGGUCUUAUAAUUUCUUCCUAUUUCUUAAGAUAAGUAUGACCUUCUAAGCCGCCCACUCGAGGUAGUCCCAGAGAAUAUAUAGGGCCCUAAAGGGUUCUCUUCCUCCCAAGUCUGAUGUCCAGGCUUGAAGAUAGCACUCAGCAUCUCAACCAUCAAAGAAACAGUGAGGGGAAGCAAAGAAGCCUAGAUUACCCUGAGCAUGUUGUUCCUUAGCACUGUGCUUCCGGAAAGUCCUACUUGGUUAUGAACAGAACUAAGGCUCUAUCCAUCACUAUCAGACUUCAAAUUCAGUCUUUUUCUGACACUAGUGGUUUAAGUCACAGUACAGGACUUCUUUAUUCCUGGUCAAAGUGCUAAAGCGCAUUCCCAUCAGCCCAGCCUCUGAGAAGGGACACACAGAACCACUUGCCAUGGCUCACUUGAAAAGGUCAGUGCCAGGUGGCUCCAGCUGUCUGUAAUCCAGCCCCUUCCUGGUGCAUUAAUAGCACAGAACUGGCACCCACAAAGCAUGCCAGCUUUCCUGUCUCUGUGCUCAUCUCCUGCACUAUCUCUAGGCUCCUCCAAACAGACUGUUUGUUUGGAAUGAAGACUUGAAUGUUAUUCAACAAGAGGCAGGGGGUGCCUGUCACAGGGAUCAACUGUGCUUGUCAAAGUUCUUUAACUUAGGAAAGAACAGAACAUGGAAGAGAACUGUCACAUUUCUGACAAUUAGCCACUUUGACGGGAUGCUCAUAUGUCUUCUCGUCUAAACGGUUAAAAGACGGAGAACAUUGGCUAAGAAUAUGUGACUCAGAUUCGAACAAGAAGUGCAGGGCUCCUGCCAGUGACUUCUGGGCCAGAUCCUGUUCUUCCUUUUAAGGAUUUGGUCUCUGCCAAGGAUGUGACAAAUUGUCGCAGGCUAGAGUACCAUUGCACACCCUCCAGGAAGCAGGUUUAGGAUACUAUUGAUCCUGGGAUGAGAGAGACAAAGGUGACAUUGAUCUCGAAGGGAAAAGGAUAAAUGGAUGGUAAUGACUUCGAGGACAUUUUAUCCCAGGAGAUCACAGCUUCUUGUCUCUGGAAGCAGAAGAUUGGAUGAGAUGACUUCCAAGAACUGGCCCAUUUUUAAGUUUCUGUGGAAUCAAGAGCUCAGAUGCAGCUGAGGUCUCUGCACCUGGAGAAUCAAAGGCCACUUGAGGCGUCACCUAGAAAAAGAAGGCUGAACUACAGUCUGUCAAAGAGCAGUCUCCACAACCAAUCAGCAAAGAACCCACAGGCUGUGACUCCUGAAGAGAGUUUACUGGGUGCCCAGGGACCACACAAGACUGCAGGAGAUGAAGACAGGAUAAAGAGAUCGAGAGGUACAUGGUGAAGAAUGACCUAAGGUUCCUCCCAUCUCCCAUUGUCCUGAAUUUUCAGAGGGUGAGACACAGUGGCCAGCUAUUAAACAUUCACAGACUAUUCCAGAGACUUCCGCCCUCGAAGAGUCAAGUAUUCUCCAGAGUCCUUUUCAGUAGCUUGCAAUGCAGUGGCACACAUGGUGAGCAGCCACGCCCCAUCGAGGAACCUCUUCUCCAGAACAGCGUUCUUCCUGAGCAGCCUGGAGCCCUGCCUGCUGCUGGGAGGCCACACAGGUUGGGAACACCCAUGACACUCCUACCUGAGCGGGGAAGUCCCCACGGAGCACCACUCAGGUUCCAGCAAGAACGUACCCUCAGUCUUUCCGGGAACCUCCCCCAGCACUAUUUACCCUUCCUCUCACCCUUAUUUUCUUCCUUUUUCUAAAUUAGGAUCCUUUGGGGUUAGCGUUCCUGCACUAGCUUGUUUUUCUGCAGUUUCUCAUGGAAAAUUCACAGCCGUCACUUUUCCUCCUGGUUACUGUGGUCUACUGUGAAUACGUCGGCCUUGACAGUGCUGUAUACUUUCUGCAUUAUAAAGGAACCUCACGGGACAGCAGGGGACUGAGCCAUUGGCUCGAAAGCACUGGCUGCUUUCAGCCCAGUAACUUAAAACAGUCUGUCCCUGGCUCGCUUGCACACAGAUCAUUUCAGGACACAGACAUGCCUUGGUUUUCUGUGAAGAGCCCUUCCAUGCCAGCUGAGUAGCCCAUUAGGAGGCCAGGUUUGCCAUGCUAAACGUGUAGCACAGACUUGCGGGACAGCUCAGUGGGUCACUCUGUCCCUGAAGGGAAGUAGUGGAGGACACAGAGGAGCACUAGAUAAGGAGAAGUGUCGACCUCUGGUCUCAGCUAUGCCCCAGGAUAAGGGCCUCCAAGAUCAUCGAGUCUCUGAGUCUCAGGGUGCUUCUGAGAAGCAUCCAGUGAUGUGUUCUAUUAUCUAUGCAGAAGGUCUGGACUAUGAGGGGGGCCUCCCUGAGGAAGGCUCAGUGGCUGAGGUGUACAGGGGGCUUCUAACCAGAAGAGCCGUCACCCCCACUGCCCACUCUCCGCCCCAGCUCUGUGCUCUCUUGGAAGUGACCACUCUCUGGUGCACAUGGAAAGAGAAGGCUAUGGAAGGUCAGCCGCAGGGCUCCUGGGUCUCAAAAGGAUCAAAGGGCCUCUCCACAGAGGAAAACAUUGCAAUCAUUCAUUUUCACAGGUACUAGGAGUCAUUGCUUCUACUUCAAAGGUGAAAUUGAGGAAGGAGGCUUGAAAAACCAUAAGUUGUUAAAAACAUCAGCAGUGAAUUUGAGAGUAAACCACAGAUUUUCAACACCUUGUUGGGGGCCUGUGAUUUAUUUGGGAUAAGCUUUUGGCUACUUAGAGCCUUUGUUGAAUUUGAUUCCAAGCUCCUGAGUCCCCUGCGCCAGCUAAAUCACUGGACCACUUAGAGGGGAGGAGCCUUCGGAAAAUUUAGCCUUUCUGUUUCAAUAGCAGCAGGAAACACAACAUGGAGAUCUCAGUAAACCAGAAAUAAUGGAGGACUGAGGAUAUAUUUCUUGGCAUCUCCAAAUGCUUAAUUCAGUUUAACAUUUAGUACUGGCUCAAGGUCUUCCCACCCUACCACACUUAAUUUCCCUAAUUCAGUUUGUUCAUCCCCAGCUGCCACGAGCAGCCAAGGGUUCAGCUGUUGAUCGAAACUUUGCCAAAUCUCCUCCAUCAGAAAGUUGGGCUACUUGAGAGCUGUUCAUCCCUUGCUGAGUUUGGCUUGAGCUUAAAAACUCAGUGCUUCAGAAGAAACCAAAAGAUCCCUUAUCAUGGAUUUUUAUCUCUUGGGCUACAGUCAAAUAUAUGUAAGGUCAUGGAAAAAUAUAUUUUGGAGUUUUUCAUAGAGUUGCAGGAGAGAAAAGUAAAGAGCACUUGGUACAAGAUUAUUGGACCAGUUUGAUCUUAUUGUUUUCUAUUAUUUUUAGCUGAAUAACUGGGAGGAAGCACUAAAAAGGUUUGGAAAUUCUGACUACAAACAAAAAGACUGUAAAUGACCUAACAACACAUUCAAGGGUGAGGGUGGGUGAGCAGCUGGGGCUCCAGGGUCUCCACAGAGCCCCAAGAAUGAUAUGAAAAUAAGAAAAAUGUAGACAAAGACGUGGCUCACGGUAGAGAGAGGCUUCACAAUGGUGUGGGCUGGAAAAACUCAACACUGCUAAGGGGAGGAAUUCAUGGAAUUUUUUGAACCUCUAUGUCUUUGAAAAAACCUGAGCUAUUUUCCAAGCCUCUAGCAGAUGAUGUCAGCAAGAAAUAGGUUCUUUGUGCUUCUGAUGCUGGUUACUUUUUCUUAGGGUAGAAAAAUAGGAAAAAUUUUUCCACUGCAAACUUUAGGGAAAAAAGGUUGCCCCCUCUGUCUGCAAUAUUAUUUUUUCCUGAGAUAUAAGGAGGAAAAUUCUGUGUUUCUGUAUCAGGGAGUUUUCCCCAGUAGACUGGAUAUUUUUUCUACAGCACCGCUAUCCAAGAGGCCCACAAGCUAGAAACCCAAUCCAGGUGGAAUGGUGUGGUGCCCCUCCACAAGUGCGAGGGCAGAGGGGAAGAUUUAAAGCAACAGCAAUUUACAUUGUGAAAAAUUUCAUCUUCUUAAAGCUGGCCCGCUUGUUUUGUAGGUCUUUGGAAAAAGCUCUGUUCACAUGCAGAUUAUGAGGCGACCUGGCUAAACUGCACUUAAAAGCUGGGUUCGUCUACAUGCACCAAGGAAGGAGUUUGGGGUCUGAGGCUUUCCUGAGCCUCAAAUAGGUGUCUGUCUCUACCCAGUUGGGAGAGGACGGUCCUCUUAGCUUUCUGGUAGUUGAGGGCUGUAGUGAGGCUGAGUGGUACUGUUGGUGUUAGGUUAGUUUUCCUGUACGAACACCUGAACUUGGAGUAAAUAACCAAUUCAGCAUUUACAUGAUGGAAUCCGACCCAUGGUUCUCUGGGAGCAGGGUCCGGCAGAA